UGGCGGUGUGGCGGAAUUGGCAGACGCGUCAGACUCAAAAUCUGGUGUCCAUUACGGACGUAUCGGUUCGACCCCGAUCACCGCUAUUAU
rnacentral:tRNA from 1 species